ACCCCAGAUGCCCCCGGAAAGAACACCGCCCCCCACCACCACCACAACCAGAUCUUUUUAAAAAGAGAUGCUACCUUCACAGCAAAAGGCCUGAUUGUGAGGAAUGAGCCAAAGUCAUGCAAGGCGUGGGGCGCUAUGGGACUGCGCAGUGACGACCCAGUGAAGUAGAUGCCUUGACGAUUCCCAUUUCACGGAUGAGACGACUCCGGCACAGAGAAGUCAGAGGGCCUGUCCUGGGUCACACAGCCACAGGCGGCCCCCAGCUCCACGGAAAAGGGCCGCUUAUCAGAGAUUAGAAGACUGUGCCCCAUGAUGGAGCUGCCGGUCAAAGUCCCCUGCUGCCAGUCCUGCGCCACAUGAAGGAGCCGCUGGUCAAAUUUCCCUGCGGCCAGUCCCUCCCUCCAUGCCAGCCUUCAGGUGCUCCUUCCACAGGCCUGGCCCACGUCAUUUCAGGACCUGCUCCUUCCCUGCCCUCUGCCUGGACCAAGCCUCUCACGGAUAUUCAUGGGACUCUCCUGGACUUCACCAGAUCUCUGCUCAGAGACCACUUCCCCUUCCCUGACGCCCUGUUUAGUGCACACACCCCCACACACACCUCCGUCCCCUGCUUUUGAUCCUUCUGGCUCAGCAUUGCUACCUGACAUUUCGGGGUCCACUUGCUCAUUUGUCCAUGCUCUGUCUCCCCUGCCAGAACGGGACUUCAGGGUGCACCACUGCACCCCAGCAGAGGCCUCCGCCUGGCACACAGGGAAUGCUGGAGCAAUACUUGAAUAAGUAAGUGGAGGGAUCAACCGAUGGCAUCCAUGGGCAGUGGCUGGGGAAAUGGAGCAAGCGAGGACUCUUUUUUUUUUCCUUUCAUCUAUCUUAAGACCCACUACGAGGGCCUUUUUCUACCACGGGGUUUGGUUGCAAAAUGUGCAAGCAAGUUCCUUCUCCCCUCCUGAUCCAGGCUGGUGAUGGUGGGAGGCGGGAGAGUUCACUUGCUCUUCACUCAUCUCGAGGAAGCUCCAGCCACUACCAGCGGAAAAUUCCUGCAUUUCUGAUUCAAAAACCUAAGUGGAACGAGCUUCAUGGCUGAGAUGUCCCAGGGACCCUCAUGAAAAGUCAGAGAAUCAUCAGAGGUUCUUUGAGGCCUGGAAAAUGAUUUUCCCAGAGAAGUCACAAUACUAAUUUGAAUGCCUCUGCCUGGAAGGCUUUCCAGGCCCACAGCAGUUUUCUGAAGCAUGAAACAAAGCUUUCUCUUGGAGCAAAGUGAAGGCUGGGAGAACAGAGUGGGCCGGGGAACUGGGAGCUGAACCCUGGAGGUAGCAGCUGCUGCCUGGAGUCUGAGGUGUGUGCCGGCAGUGUGGCUACUGUCCUGGGGCCCCUGGGAGCCGCACCACUGCCUCAUUGAGGGGAUAUCCUGCCCAUGUGGGCUAUUCUUGCCCCAACAAACAGGCUGACUUUUCCUCAACUGGGGGGGAGCCUUCAUUGGGAUUGCAGAACAUGAUUAUGACCACCACCCCUCCCAGGGGGCUGAGGAAACAUGGCCCAAGCCAGGGUGGCCCACGUGGUUAUAACAUGACAAUUGUGCAUUAUACGGAUAGGCAAGGCUGUGGCCAGUUGCACCCUAUGGGUUAGGAUGAAGGUGGCCCCUCAUUGCUAUAAGUAGGUGGGACCACGCCUUCCCAGAUAAUGAAGGAAUUCACUCUCUGAAUGGGACCAGAAGAGUCUACGCUGGUUAAGAGAAGUGCAGAAGGAGGCUGUGUUUGGAUGGUCCCUGGUCAUCUCUGAAAAAACACAGCCCUCCAGCCCUGAGGCCACAGAGAAAGUACAGUAACCAGUUUAUAAGCAUGCAUCAGUAAGCUUUCCAUUUCAUAUUUUCAUAGAAGUUUUUAAUUUGAUUUUGGGAUUAUUCCUGAAUAAUGCAAUUUUAUGACACAUGAAAAACCAAGAACACUUGAAAAAUGAUCAUCACCUUUCACUGUUGAGCUGGCUUCUUACGCAAAAUUCUUGGCACAGUGCACCCCCUUCCCCACGGCUGUGCCUUCCCUGACAUUUCUAGUGAGCUCUGGAGCAUGUAAACCUAAGCCAGUUCUAAGGUCUCUAAAAUAAAGGUCCAUCUGGAAUCUUCGGCAUGGAAGUUCCAAGCCAGGGAGGAGAUGGAGCGGUAAGAACAUGUAGAGUUUGGUCAACUUGGUUUUGCAAACUCUUACUCCGUACGUAAGCUCCACCCCUCAGUUUCCCCACCUACACAGUGGGCAUGAUAACAGCGUUGUUGUAAAGCUUAUAGAAAGAUGGUGCAGCCAAAUGCUGGAGGACUCCUGUGGCACUCUGUGCUUUCUUUUUGGUAACACAACAAUUCUCAGGCUUUUUGUUUUUUUUUUUUUUUUUUUUUUUUGAGACUUUGUCUCACUGUGUCACCCAGGCUGGAGUGCAGUGGUGCGAUCUGGGCUCACUGCAACCGCUGCCUCCCAGUUUCAAGCGAUUCUCCUGCCUCAGCCUCCGGAGUGGCUGGGAUUACAGGCACCUGCCACCAUGCCCGGCUAAUUUUUGUAUUUUUAGUAGAGUUGGGGUUUUAUCAUGUUGGCCAGGCUGGUCUCGAACUCCUGACCUCAAAUGAUCCACCCACCUCGGCCUCCCAAAGUGCUGGGAUUACAGGUAUGAGCCACAGGGCCUGGCGAAUUCUCAGGCAUUUUUGUGUUUGUUUGUCUUAAUUUCUGUCUUUACUACUAGCCUCCUUCAUGUAUCUCACUGACUUCUGUUUCCACCAAUGUCUAUCACAGUUCCUGAGAUAUAGCAGGCACUCAAGACAGGUGUUAAGUGAAUAAACAAAGUGAUGCAUUAACAAAUAAAUUGUUUAAAUGAGUGACUGAGUAAAACUCAACACAGAACCUACACAUAGUGAGCAUCCACAUAAUAACAAUGGCACCAUUCCUCUUUAAAACAUAUGAUUUGAUCUCUUGCUUUUAGACCACAAGGACUUUAGAUAGUCCGGUAAGCUUGGUAGGAAAGUUGGUCACUUUAAAGUCAGUUUAAUUUAUAGUAAUAUUGGGAAAGAGGAUCUAUAAGGCAAUCUCACUUCCAAAAUGCAAACAAACAAGUGAAAACCACUUUGCUUUGGUCCUUUUCAUAUUUCUUCCAGAGAAGGGAAUAAAAAUUUCUAUUUAAAAAUUUGGGAUAAACUAGGCUAGGUGGUGUGCACCUGUAAUCCUAGCUACUUGGGAGGCUGAGGCAGGAGAAUCGCUUGAGACCAAGAGUUCCAGAGCAGCCUGGGCAACAUACUGAGACACAGACCCUUAAAAAAAAAAAAAAAAAAAGGCCAGGGGCAGUGGCUAGCCCCUGUAAUCCCAGCACUUUGGGAGGCUGAGGCAGGUGGAUCACUUGAGGCCAGGAGUUUAAGACCAGCCUGACCAACAUGGUGAAAUUCCGUCUCUACUACAAAUAUAAAAACUAGCCGGGUGUGGUGGUGCAUGCCUGUAAUCCCAGCUACCUGGGAGGCUGAGGCAGGAGAAUCACUUGAAUCUGGGAGGCGGAGGUUGCCGUGAGCCAAGAUCGUGCCACUGCAUUCCAGCCUGGGCGACAGAGUGAGACUGUGUCUCAAAAAAAAAAAAAAAAACGGGCGGGGGGGAUCUCUUUUGUAGAAACAGAGUCUCACUAUGUUGCCCAGCGUGGUCUUUUUUGAUUUAAUUUUUUUGUAUAGACAGGGGUCUUUCUGUGUUGUCCAAGUUGGUCUCAAACUCCUGGACUUGGGUGAUCCCUCCCAAAGUGCUGGGAUUACAGGCAUGAGCCAUCACACCCAGGGUCUCUUUCUAUCUGUUGCUAGUGAUCCUGACUUCUUCAGAAUGCAGCAUCCGUGGACGUGCCAUGUUGCAUGCAGCUAACCAGUGCUUGGAGAGACUGGACUUAAGCUCUUGUUUUCAACCCAGACCCAAGGAGUGCCUGUUCCUUUGCAGAACUGCCUAGUACACAGAGUUAAACGUCGUGUAGCUUGUAUGAUUGGGAAGGAAGCAGAAAGUAGAAUUCUGAAAUAACAGAACUGAUUUUUUUUCAACCAGCAUGGCAGCUUUUCGUGUUAGGAAGCCUUCAGAAUCAUUUCCUACCCUCUCAAGGAACCCAUUCUUUAGAGGUACACACCGUUCCUGUCAGAGAGGCUAUCUUCCUAGUGCUAAAUGAUUUUUUGAUGCACUGAAAAUUAAAUUCACACUCAAAUUUCUGCAUUUGAGGAGAUUUUCCUGUACGCUGAGCUCUGUCAAAAGAGAUAUAUUGAAGAGAGGGUAGUUCUGGGACCAUUUGCAAGAGAGCGCAUUGAUUGGAAGCCUAUACAUUCUGGAGUGUUGGCUUAAUAUGUUGAUCAUCCUUUGAGGUGGGGCACAAGGAAAAAUAAACUAUUUCUCCUUCAGGAACAUACAGUGGCAUAAGAGAGACCAACUUGGUGAUAACUGAUCAUAGGAUUAGACCAAGGUGCAGAAGCAAACAGAACCUCCAUAAAAUGUAACGAUGUCUCGUGCCUGCAAUCCUAGUGCUUUCAGAGGCCAAGGUGGGAAGAUGCCUUGAGCUCAGGAGUUUGAGACCAGCCUGAACAACACAACAAGACCUCGUAUCUAUGAAAAAAUAAAAAUAAUAAAAUUAGCUGCACACCUAUUUGGUGGCACACACCUGUGGUCCCAGGUACUCGGGAGGCUGAGAUGAGAUCAUUUGAGCCCAGGAGAUCAAGGCUGCAAUCAGCUGUGAUCAUGCCACUGCCCUCCAGCCUGGACAACUGAGCGAGACCCUGUCUCCAAAAAAAGUAAAAUUAAAAAAAAAAAUUAAAAUAUGAUGGAGUGCAGAGGAAAGGUCAGUUGAUUCUCACUAAGGGUUGGACUUCAUUGGUGAUUUUCUGUCUUUUUAAGAGUUAGAAACUCCUUUUUCAAAUGAAAUGUGUAUGGACCUCCAAUGUCUUAAGCCAGGUCAGAGAUGUUUUGUUGGGGACGGGGGCUUCCAGCCCACUGAACACCCCUGUCCUGCCGUAGCCCCAGAGGUACCACCUUGGGCUCUGCCCAGUGCUGCUUCAACACCUCCAGAUGGGAGGAGAGGGACCUUUCCUUCUAGUUCUAACCCCCACAUCAGUCAAGGGAACCCUGUACAAAAUGCUGAGAAAGCCAAAGAAAGUCAGAGUGCAGGCAGCUUCUUGUGACUUACUGCGGGGGCUCCUUGUGUCUCCCCUCCUCCUGCCUGUUAGACUUCUCCUUGCUGGCUGGGCCCACGCGUGGAUGCACGGGUGCGGAGGAUGGGAACCCAGGAUCACUCAGCAACGUGCUUCUUGUCAGCUUCCUGCAAAGGGGAGAAAUCACGCGUCAACCAGAAGCUUUUAAGUGAAAAUUUGAGGACCUCCUACCUUCACCCACCAGAAUGCUGCAGCUUUCAAAGUACUUUCUAGACAAUGUCAUUCAAGCUUGUGAUAAUCCCACUGGGUGGGAGGAGUGGGAGGUGUUAUUAUUUCACAGAUGAAAUUGAGGUUCGUUGGUGACUGAGCACCUCUUGUCACCUUACUGUCCCAUGUCCACAAUGGAGAUGCAGGAAAGGUGCUUUGAACUUUGCUCAGCACCUAGUAAGCCCUCAGUGCACAUUAGCGCUGGUCAUUCGGUAGUGACCCAGGAGCUCAUCACUAGGAAGUGGCGGACUGGGAACCAGGAUCAGACCUCCAAAUUCCCCCCAGGACCUGUCGCUCACUCUGCUAUUUGAGUGUCCAGCCCAGAAGCAUUUUCGGAUCUCCAAAAUAAAGUAAAAAGUGCUAGCAAUGCUUGGUGAAUUAGUAACACUGUGAUGUUGGCCGGGCACAGCGGCUCACGCCUAUAAUCCCAGGACUUUGGGAGGCCGAGGCGGGUGGAUCACGAAGUAAGGAGAUCGAGACCAUCUUGGCUAACACGAUGAAACCCCGUCUCUACUAAAAAUACAAAAAAUUAGCCGGGCGCGGUGGCGGGCGCCUGUAGUCCCAGCUACUCGGGAGGCUGAGGCAGGAGAAUGGCAUGAACCUGGGAGGCGGAGCUUGCAGUGAGCUGAGAUCGCACCACUGCAGUCCGGCCUGGGCGAAAGAGUGAGACUCCAUCUCAAAAAUAAAUAAAUUAAUUAAUUAAUUAAAAAAUAAAACAACACUGUGAUGUUAAGGCCCUAUUUUCCAGGAUUUAUCAUGAUUGGUUUUAUUGAGUAAAGCCUGGGCAAAAGACUUCGGUGUCAAUUUAGAAAGACUCAUUUAAGUAUCUUUUUAGAAGUAAUAUUAUGUAUUAUUAUUGUUGUUAUUAUUAUUAAAGUUCUGUGCCAAUCGUUA